AGAGAUUAAACUGAAGAGUUUGAUCCUGGCUCAGAUUGAACGCUGGCGGCAUGCCUUACACAUGCAAGUCGAACGGCAGCACGGAGCUUGCUCUGGUGGCGAGUGGCGAACGGGUGAGUAAUAUAUCGGAACGUACCCUAGAGUGGGGGAUAACGUAGCGAAAGUUACGCUAAUACCGCAUACGAUCUAAGGAUGAAAGUGGGGGAUCGCAAGACCUCAUGCUCGUGGAGCGGCCGAUAUCUGAUUAGCUAGUUGGUAGGGUAAAAGCCUACCAAGGCAUCGAUCAGUAGCUGGUCUGAGAGGACGACCAGCCACACUGGAACUGAGACACGGUCCAGACUCCUACGGGAGGCAGCAGUGGGGAAUUUUGGACAAUGGGCGAAAGCCUGAUCCAGCAAUGCCGCGUGAGUGAAGAAGGCCUUCGGGUUGUAAAGCUCUUUUGUCAGGGAAGAAACGGUGAGAGCUAAUAUCUCUUGCUAAUGACGGUACCUGAAGAAUAAGCACCGGCUAACUACGUGCCAGCAGCCGCGGUAAUACGUAGGGUGCAAGCGUUAAUCGGAAUUACUGGGCGUAAAGCGUGCGCAGGCGGUUUUGUAAGUCUGAUGUGAAAUCCCCGGGCUCAACCUGGGAAUUGCAUUGGAGACUGCAAGGCUAGAAUCUGGCAGAGGGGGGUAGAAUUCCACGUGUAGCAGUGAAAUGCGUAGAUAUGUGGAGGAACACCGAUGGCGAAGGCAGCCCCCUGGGUCAAGAUUGACGCUCAUGCACGAAAGCGUGGGGAGCAAACAGGAUUAGAUACCCUGGUAGUCCACGCCCUAAACGAUGUCUACUAGUUGUCGGGUCUUAAUUGACUUGGUAACGCAGCUAACGCGUGAAGUAGACCGCCUGGGGAGUACGGUCGCAAGAUUAAAACUCAAAGGAAUUGACGGGGACCCGCACAAGCGGUGGAUGAUGUGGAUUAAUUCGAUGCAACGCGAAAAACCUUACCUACCCUUGACAUGGCUGGAAUCC
rnacentral:rRNA from 2 species